GACGAACGCUGGCGGCGUGCCUAAUACAUGCAAGUAGAACGCUGAAGGCGGAGCUUGCUCCUCUGGAUGAGUUGCGAACGGGUGAGUAACGCGUAGGUAACCUGCCUGUUACCGGGGGAUAACUAUUGGAAACGAUAGCUAAUACCGCAUAACAGUAGAUGUUGCAUGACAUUUGCUUAAAAGGUGCAAUUGCACCACUACCAGAUGGACCUGCGUUGUAUUAGCUAGUUGGGGGGGUAACGGCUCACCAAGGCGACGAGACAUAGCCGACCAGCGAGGGUGCGAGGCCAAGCUGGGACUGAGACACGGCCAAGCAUCCUAGGAGUGGGACCAGUAGGGAAUCCUCAGGAAAGGAAGGAAGUCUGAACGAUGAACGACGGGUGAGUGAAGAAGGUUUUCAGAUCGUAAAGGUGUGUUGUGCGAGAAGAAUGAAUAUGAGAGUGGAAAGUGCAGACUGUGACGGUAUCUGACCAGAAAGCGACGGCUAACUACGUG
rnacentral:rRNA from 1 species